GACGUAGGGCGCGAGCGUUGUCCGGAUUUAUUGGGCGUAAAGAGCUCGUAGGCGGCUUGUUGCGUCGACUGUGAAAACCCGCGGCUUAACUGCGGGCUUGCAGUUGAUACGGGCAGGCUAGAGUUCGGUAGGGGAGACUGGAAUUCCUGGUGUAGCGGUGAAAUGCGCAGAUAUCAGGAGGAACACCAAUGGCGAAGGCAGCUCGCUGGGACGGUACUGACGCUGAGACGCGAAAGCGUGGGGAGCAAACAGG
rnacentral:rRNA from 1 species